UAAAUCAAGCCCGGUACUUUU
rnacentral:miRNA from 1 species